AUCGAACGCUGGCGGCAGGCCUAACACAUGCAAGUCGAGCGGAGCGGCGGACGGGUGAGUAAUGCGUAGGAAUCUGCCUGGAAGUGGGGGAUAACGUCCGGAAACGGGCGCUAAUACCGCAUACUAUCAGAUGAGCCUAGGUGGGUUUAGCUAGUUGGUGGGGUAAAGGCCUACCAAGGGGACGAUCCGUAACUGGUCUGAGAGGGUGAUCAGUCACACUGGAACUGAGAGACGGUCCAGACGCCUACGGGGUGCAGGAGUGGGGAAUAUUGGACAAUGGGCGAAAGCCUGAACCAGCCAUGCCGGGUGUGUGAAGAAGGGCUUCGGAUUGUAAAGCACGUUAAGUUGGGAGGCGUUACCAACAGAAUAAGCACCGGCUAACUUCGUGCCAGCAGCCGCGGUAUAC
rnacentral:rRNA from 1 species